rnacentral:rRNA from 1 species
UACGAAGGGGGCUAGCGUUGCUCGGAAUCACUGGGCGUAAAGCGCACGUAGGCGGAUCUUUAAGUCAGGGGUGAAAUCCCAAGGCUCAACCUUGGAACUGCCCUUGAUACUGGGGAUCUCGAGUCCGGAAGAGGUUGGUGGAACUCCGAGUGUAGAGGUGAAAUUCGUAGAUAUUCGGAAGAACACCAUUGGCGAAGGCGGCCAACUGGUCCGGCACUGACGCUGAGGUGCGAAAGCGUGGGGAGCAAACAGG